UAUUGAUGGAAUUGUCUUUAAUAAUUUAAAGGGAAGUAAGUGUUAAAUGAAAGAGGUUUAUUAUCAUUGUAAAAUUGAGUGAUUUGAAAAAAGUGACUAUAUUUAUUUGUAUCGUAGGAGAUAGUUGAAAUAGUUGAUAUAAUAAGUGAAAGGAAAUUUUGUGUAUUGUACCUUGUGUCUCAGGGUGUAUUAAAAUUAAUAAUAAAUAUUUGUUUUCUCGAAAUAAAAAGAUUUAAUUAAAUAGGUUAGUUAUUGUUUUAUAAAUAUUAAGAAUAUUUGAUUGGUAAUGAAAAGUUAGUCGUUUUUUAUGAUAUCUAGUUUUAUAAUAAAUAAAUAAAAUUUAGGGGUUCAUUAUUACUAUUUAUUUAAUAUAGUUUGGUAUUAAUGGAUCUUAACUUUAAAGGGGAAAAACUCUUUAGGGGAUGUCUAUAAAAAAGUUUUUAAAUAAAGUUUAAUGAAUCUGAAAAUCGUUAUUUAGAAAGUAUGUUGAAAUUUAUCUUUAUGAUAUUAAAGGAUUUAAGAUGGUUUUAGGAGGUUUAUUAUAAUGUAGCUUUUAAUGAAAUAGAUUUGGUAAAGAUGAUUUAAUUAGUAAAUUUGAAUGUAAUGUGUUGAUAGAAAGGUUAAUUUAAUUUGAGGAACUAGGCAAAAUAACUUGCUCGCCUGUUUAUUAAAAACAUGGUUUCUUGAUUAGAUAGGAGAUUUGGCCUGCCCACUGAAAUUAAAAUUGAAGGGCCGCGGUAUUUUGACUGUGCAAAGGUAGCAUAAUCAUUAGUCUUUUAAUUGAAGGCUUGCAUGAAUGGUUAGACGAGGCAAGAUCUAUCUUGAAUUAAUAAUGAGUUGAAUUUAAAUUUUAAGUAAAAAUGCUUAAAUGGAAUUAAGGGACGAGAAGACCCUGUAGAGUUUAAUAUAUAAAGUUUUUAAUCAAGUUUAAUAAAUUAUUAUUUGAUUGCUAAAGUAUAUAUUUGGUUGGGGUGAUUAGAAAAUAUACUAAACUUUUCUUUAUUUUAAAUUAUAUUGGAAGCAAAAUGAUCCAUGGAUAGUGAUUAGAAGAUUAAAUUACCUCAGGGAUAACAGCAUAAUUUUUUUUGAAAGUUCAUAUUGAAAAGAAAGAUUAUGACCUCGAUGUUGGAUUAAGAUAAGUAUUGGGCGUAGGAGUUCAAUGACUAGGUCUGUUCGACCUUUAAAUUCUUACAUGAUCUGAGUUUAAACCGGUGUGAGCCAGGUUGGUUUCUAUCUUUAAUAAGUUUAAAUGUUUUAGUACGAGAGGACCAAACAUUUGAAAUAAUUUUAAAAAAUGUGAAUAUUACUAAUGAAGAUU
rnacentral:rRNA from 1 species